rnacentral:rRNA from 1 species
GAGGAAAGUGGAAUUCCAUGUGUAGCGGUGAAAUGCGCAGAGAUAGUGGAGGAACACCAGUGGCGAAGGCGACUUUCUGGUCUGUAACUGACGCUGAUGUGCGAAAGCGUGGGAUCAAACAGGAUUAGAUACCCUGGUAGUCCACGCCGUAAACGAUGAGUGCUAAGUGUUAGGGGGUUGUCCGCCCCUUAGUGCUGCAGCUAACGCAUUAAGCACUCCGCCUUGGGGAGUACGACCGCAAGGUUGAAACUCAAGGAAUUGACGGGGACCCGCACAAGCGGUGGAGCAUGUGGUUUAAUUCGAAGCAACGCGAAGAACCUUACCAAAUCUUGACAUCCUCUGACCCCUCUAGAGAUAGAGUUUUCCCCUUCGGGGGACAGA